AUCACACUCUCAGAAAGAAAAUUUGCCAGUUGUGAUUGCCCUAUCAAUUCAAACAGUAGCCCCAACCAGAUUGUGUUUUUACAUCCAGUGCCUGCUUCACUCAUUUACCUGUGUACUCCACCAGCAAUACGAACAGCAUCAGUGCAUCAGACAAGCUGAAGUAGAAGACAUCUUUUAUCUACAUUCUCAAGGAGAUCAUCCUGGCUGUUAGAUGACCACAGUGAGAAGCUAGCAAGACGAGGAGGAAUUUGAAGAAAAUUUGUAGGUAGCUGUAAAGGGAGGAUGAAGCAGAACACGUGGGGAACUCCAGCUAAUAGAGAAUGCAACAGCACGUCUGCACAGCAGCACUGAAACCAGGAGUGCAUUAAGCCUGUCCUUUGCUCUUCGCAAUUGCUUCCCACAGAAUAUCAAAUCAAACUGAAGGUUUCGGCACUUAACUUCAGUGUUUAGAUAACCAAAGCUAUAUCCAGAGUGGAGAACAUCAGAGCUUCCAUGCCUAGUCAUACCGUGUCUUCACAUGA